rnacentral:rRNA from 1 species
UACGUAGGGUGCGAGCGUUGUCCGGAAUUAUUGGGCGUAAAGAGCUCGUAGGCGGUCUGUCGCGUCGAGUCGUGAAAACUUGGGGCUUAACCCUGAGCCUGCUUCCGAUACGGGCAGACUAGAGGUAUGCAGGGGAGAACGGAAUUCCUGGUGUAGCGGUGAAAUGCGCAGAUAUCAGGAGGAACACCGAUGGCGAAGGCAGGUCUCUGGGCCACUACUGACGCUGAUGCGCGAAAGCGUGGGGAGCAAACAGG